rnacentral:rRNA from 1 species
AGUGAACGCUGGCGGUAGGCCUAACACAUGCAAGUCGAACGGCAGCACAGUAAGAGCUUGCUCUUACGGGUGGCGAGUGGCGGACGGGUGAGGAAUACAUCGGAAUCUACUUUUUCGUGGGGGAUAACGUAGGGAAACUUGCGCUAAUACCGCAUACGACCUACGGGUGAAAGCAGGGGAUCUUCGGACCUUGCGCGAUUGAAUGCGCCGAUGUCGGAUUAGCUAGUUGGCGGGGUAAAGGCCCACCAAGGCGACGAUCCGUAGCUGGUCUGAGAGGAUGAUCAGCCACACUGGAACUGAGACACGGUCCAGACUCCUACGGGAGGCAGCAGUGGGGAAUAUUGGACAAUGGGCGCAAGCCUGAUCCAGCCAUACCGCGUGGGUGAAGAAGGCCUUCGGGUUGUAAAGCCCUUUUGUUGGGAAAGAAAAGCAGCAGGUUAAUACCCCGCUGUUCUGACGGUACCCAAAGAAUAAGCACCGGCUAACUUCGUG